rnacentral:snRNA from 2 species
AUACCUUUCUCGGCCUUUUGGCUAAGAUCAAGUGUAGUAUCUGUUCUUAUCAGUUUAAUAUCUGAUACGUGGAUUACUAAUCCACAUGAUAUUAAAUUAGUUUUUUUAGGGGAGAGCUCAUCAUUAAUAGCUUGCUAUUAGAGUUCUUGAGUGUCGUUCAUGCGUUGCACUAUAGCAUGGGCUUGGCGCAACCCAU